rnacentral:lncRNA from 10 species
CCAUUUUGCUAAUACCUAAACAACAGGCCUUCUCUUUGCUGACUGUGGGCCUACCAUAGGAACAACUAUCUGUGAUGUUGCUCCACCUAUUUCCUGACUUCUGUCUCAGUCUCUUCCUAUGUUUUCAAGGAGCAAGACUAGCAUCACAAGCGUGAGUUUUGGAGUCAAAGGUCAGAAGUUGUCCUGUCUGAGGACAAGAGCUGCACCAGAUGACUUCUCAAGAUCCCUUUGACCCUUAUGAUUGUCUACUGGCAUAAAUAUAAGGGUUUGUUCAGUUUCCUAUUUGAACUGAAUUUCCUUAUAACCAUUUCUGAUUAGCAUAUCGAUCACAAAAGUACCACUGUAAAGGAUAGAACAUGAGUCAUUAUUUUUACUUUCUUUUGCCCCGAAUCUGUCAA